rnacentral:misc_RNA from 1 species
GUAGGUGAACCUGCGGAAGGAUCAUUAUUGAAAUAAACCUGAUAAGUUGCUGCUGGUUCUCUAGGGAGCAUGUGCACACUUGUCAUCUUUGUAUCUUCACCUGUGCACCUUUUGUAGACCUGACUAUCUCUCUGACUGCUUUUUAGCACUCGGGAUUGAGGAUUGACUUUCUGUCUCUUCUUACAUUUUCAGGUCUAUGUUUCUUCAUAUACCCUAAUGCAUGUUUAUAGAAUGUAAUCAAUGGGCCUUUGUGCCUAUAAAUCUAUACAACUUUCAGCAACGGAUCUCUUGGCUCUC